rnacentral:rRNA from 1 species
AUGGACAUGUCGGCGAUCGCCGCCCGCCUCGGCCUCUCCGGCUCCCGUCCCUUUGUGCGCAAGGCCGCCGAGCUCCGACGCCUCUGCGACAUCAACUUCGACUCCUCCGUCCUCGGCAUCGUGAGCAUCCCGCACCGCCCCUCGAAUCACCUCCUCUCCCUCGAUCUCUCCGUCGUACGUGUCUCUGAUGCUGGUUUCGCGCAGGGGGAGGUGUGCAAGGCCAUCAUCUGCCUUGAGGUCGCCGCGACCAAGUUUCAGGUGAUGUUUGAUCGGUCAGAGGCGGUGCAGAUGAGUGGGAUGUCGGAGAAGGCAUACAUCAGAUCGUUCAACGCGCUGCAAAAUGGCCUUGGUGUCAAGACGACAUUGGAUGUGCGUGAAUUGGGUAUCCAGUUCGGCUGUGUCAGGCUGAUACCUUUUGUGCAGAAGGGAUUGGUGCUGUACAAGGAGCGUUUCUUGGCUGCAUUGCCUCCUUCUCGGCGAUCAAGCACGGACUUUGGUCGGCCAAUGUUUACUGCAGCAGCAUUCUAUUUAUGUGCAAAGAGGCAUAAGCUCAAAGUUGACAAACUGAAGCUAAUUGACCUGUGUGGUACAUCUAGCUCUGGAUUUACAACGGUUUCGACAUCUAUGGGGGACCUUUGUUUUGAUGUUUUCGGGAUAGCCAAGGAGAAGAAGGAUCCAACCUCCAUCAAAGGAAAUAGAGAACUGCUGGAUGUUUUGCCUAGCAAAAGGAAACAUGAGGAUGAAUCAUCAGGGGAUGACAAUGAUGACAAGCUAGAUGUAUGA